rnacentral:rRNA from 1 species
AGAGCGAACGCUGGCGGCAGGCCUAACACAUGCAAGUCGAGCGCCCGUAGCAAUACGGGAGCGGCAGACGGGAUAGUAGCACGUGGGAACGCGCCCUUCGGUUCGGAAUAACUCAGGGAAACUUGAGCUAAUACCGGAUACGCCCUUACGGGGAAAGAUUUAUUGCCGAAGGAACGGCCCGCGUCCGAUUAGCUAGUUGGUGAGGUAAUGGCUCACCAAGGCUCCGAUCGGUAGCUGGUCUGAGAGGAUGACCAGCAUCACUGGGACUGAGACACGGCCCAGACUCCUACGGGAGGCAGCAGUGGGGAAUAUUGGACAAUGGGCGCAAGCCUGAUCCAGCCAUGCCGCGUGGAUGAUGAAGGCCUUAGGGUUGUAAAGUCCUUUUAACGGGGAAGAUAAUGACGGUACCCGUAGAAUAAGCCCGGCUAACUUCGCGCCAGCAGCCGC